UACGGAGGGGGCUAGCGUUGUUCGGAAUUACUGGGCGUAAAACGCGCGUAGGCGGACCUGCAAGUCGGGGGUGAAAGCCCGAGGCUCAACCUCGGAACUGCCUUCGAUACUGCGGGUCUCGAGUCCGGGAGAGGUGAGUGGAAUUCCUAGUGUAGAGGUGAAAUUCGUAGAUAUUAGGAAGAACACCAGUGGCGAAGGCGGCUCACUGGCCCGGUACUGACGCUGAGACGCGAAAGCGUGGGGAGCAAACAGG
rnacentral:rRNA from 1 species